UUUUCCAUCGCAACCCGCGUGUCUGUGUGGUUGACACUGUCACCCUCCUCCUCCGAGCCGAACACGCAACCCCGAACAGAGUCGAGCGAGAGAGAGAUAGCCAUGGCGAUUUGGAGCUCCGCCUCACCGCUCGAUCCAGUGUUUUGGUGGUGACUCGUCCGCGCUCUCCCUCGUGCUGCCCCGCUUCCUCCGCCUCCCUUCUGUUCCUGCCGGCGGGAUCUGCGGCAUCUCUCGGCCACGCACCGAUCCGUCCCCAUUUUCAUCGCUGGCGAUUUUGUUCGUCGGAUUCAGUCCCCCCCCCCCUCCUCCCUUUUUGUUGUUCUUGUGAUCUGUUAGGUAGGGAGUUGGUUUUGUCUGUCAGAUUUGAUGAUUGUAUCCAUCCCCCGCAGCUUUUUUCCGUGUAGAUUUGUUUAGGUUGCACCGUUUCUGGGAUGCGUUUGAUUGUUCUGCUAAGCGCGGUAGCUGCCGUAGCUGGGAUGUGUGUCAGUUCGAUGUGCUGAUCUAUAAUUGAUUGGAUGUUGGAGUCCGAGUUGUUCAUGUGAGGCUGGCUUGCUUAGUUGUAGUACUCUGAUGUAUUCUGUCAAUUUGAACGGAUGUAUUCUGUUCCCUGGUCUUUAAUCCCUAGACCAUUUCUUUUCACUGGUAUCGUUUAGCGGGUAUGUGGUUUACUCUGUAAUUUCUAUUUUGGAUUUACAGUGCAAUCCCCAUUGUUUUUUAGAGUGAUUUUCAGUGUAAUUUAUAUUGGAUUUUCAUUGAUUUUCACUGUAAUCCGUACUGGAUUUCCAGUGUAAUUUUCUUGUGGAUAGGUAGUAUAUUUGUAGUGUAAACCCAAAGCAAUUUGUAGUGUAAUCCCCGGUUAUUUUACAGUGUAAUUUCAGUGUAUUUGCACUAUAUUUGCUAGUGGAAUAAUAGUGUAUAUGUCCUAAUUGCAGUGUAUUUUUGUCAGUGGGGUUGCACUGUAUUUGUUAGUGGAAUUACAGUGUAUUUGUCAGUGAUGUACAGUGUAAUUUGAUAGCUGAUUUAUAGUGUAAUUGCCAUGGAUUUGCACUGUAUUCGCUAGUGGAAUUACAGUGUAAUUCACUUGAAUUUUUAUUGUGGAAUUGCGUUUUGGAUUUACAAUGUAUUUGUCGGCAAAUUUACAGUGUAAUUCAUAGUUGGUUUUACUGUGUAAAUUCAGUGUAAUUUACACUUUAAUUGAGUAGCAGAGGAAUUGUGACUGUUCUUAUGAUGCACCGCUAGUUUGUAUGUUCUUGUGAUGCAUCUGAUUCCAGUGUAUUUUCUUGAGGAUUUAGACUAUAAUUAUAUUUGGAUGUACACUGUAAUCUUCAUCGGAAUUCCAGUGUAUUUUCUUAGUGGGUGAUUACAGUGUAUUUACAAUGUAAUUCUCAGUUGGUUUCCACUGUAAUUCGCAUGGGAUUUCUUCACUGUAAUUCUUAGUGGGUUAUGUAGUGAAAUAAAAGAGAUGUAGACUGUAAAUGCUAUCAAUGCAUUUCUUCUUUAUAUUUUUUUUAUGUUUUAUCCCUUUUGCCAUUUCAUCUCAGACAUUUUGUCCUUUUCUUUGUGUUUGUACAUAUUUAGGUUAUAGAUUAAAGUAUGGGGAGACUCAUGAAGGCUUUUGGUAAGGGCACUUAUGCUGCUUGUGUUCAAGAUUGUGAUGAUUCAGAUGGGGAUCCUUUUGUCCCCAAUGAUUUUGCUGAGGAUGAUCCUUUUCAAGAUUCGGAGGAACGUCAAAUGGAUGAUCAUGAUUUUGAGAAAGUCUUAGGCCAUGCUUUUUAGCUGCUUUUUUCUAGUCUGGCUUUGAUAAAGAUGGGGUGUGUACCCGCUCAGGGCAUGUGCUGCUAUGAUGAAGUGGAUUUAUUUCCGGUCAUGUCCUCUUCCAGUUUUUUGACUGUAGUCCCUGAUGGGUUGUAGUGUAAUUAUUUGUUGAUUUUGCUCUGUAAUGCCCAGUGGCAUUACACUGUAUGUUAAUUGGUCUUACAUAGUAAUUCUUAGUGGGUUCACACACUAAUUUACAAAGUAGUUUACACAGUAAUUUUAGCACUUCCUUACUGUUGGUUAGUGUUCAUUUUUGUUGGCUUGUUCAAAACUGCAAUUCUUACAGUGUAAUUCUAGGUAGAUUUACAGUGAAAUUCUAAGUGGAUUUACACUGUAAUUCCUACUAUAUUUACACUAUAAUUCUAGGUCGAUUUUACAGUGUAAAUCUAGAUAUUUACACUGUAAUUCCUACUGGAUUUACACUGUAAUUCCUACUAUAUUUACAAUGUAAUUCCAGGUCGAUUUUACAUUGUAAAUCUAGGUAGAUUUAUACUGUAAUUCCUACUGGAUUUACACUGUAAUUCCUACCGUAUUUUCAGUGUUUUUCUUAGUGUAGUAGAUUUUACAGUGGAUUCAAACUGGAUUUACAGCGGUAUUUAAAGUGUAAAUCUUAGUGUAAUUUUAGUUGAUUUUAUAGUGUAAUUUUAGUGGUUUUUGUCAUUUUCAUUUUAAUUGUGUGUGGUUAGUAGAUUAGAGAUGGGAAAGUAUUGCCUGGGUUCUUUUUCUCCUUUCUCGCUGCUUUGCCUGUGUGGGUUGAAAAGAGUUGGGGUGUGGAUCCAAUAACAUCUUGGUGCGGGUCCGUUUAAAAGCGGUAUGAACCACCUGAAGUAGCUCAGUAAAAGAGUAUGAUCCACUUUGUUAUUUGUCAAGACUCUAGUUAAAGAAAGCAUGUUUUUGAUAACUUUUUUUGUUUUCAGGAUUGUUUUCUCUAUUAGAAAGCCAUAUGUUAAGGAAAUCAACUUCAUCUUCAUUGAGAUUUGUUCAGGCAGGAGAGAGACGACAGGAGGUGAUGAAUGCACAGGAGACGGGGGGGGGGGGGGGUUACCUGUGAUUUCUUUUUUCCUUCUCCAGCCAUGUUUGUGUCUAGAACUCUAGAUCAUGGAGGAAUCGCCCUCUCUGGUGGCGCUUCUCUGGGGUAAAUUUAGCACUUUCUCAAUGGAAUUGUAGUGUAAUUCUUUUGUGUGUUUUAAGUGCUAUUUACAGUGUACUUUUAGUGUAAUUACUGUGCAUUUUCAGUGAAAUUUACACUGUAAUUGUUAGUGGAAUUUACAUUGUAAAUGUUAGUGGGUUUAUGGUGUACUUCUAGUGGAUUUUUGCUCUGUAUUUGCAAGUGGCAUUUUUAGUGGAAUUACUGUGUAUUUCCAUGGUUUUUACACUGCAA